GUCGGUUGUAAGCCUAUCACUAGGUGGCUCAAAUUAAUGUCCACCAGGUGGCGGUGUGCCCAUUCGUGAGUCACCAAAUGACCAAAAUUCCGCCAUUAUUUUUUCUUUUUUUGAGACCCGAGACCGCCCGAGACACUGGGAAGACGUCAAAGAAAGCUAAAUGUAAUGUGAAUUCCGCAAUUUUUCAUUAUGAGACUUGAAAAGGUAAAUCAGCUUAUCAUUUUCACUUGCAAAUCCACUGAUGACGUGUCCUGAAACAUGCUCGCUGUUUUGCCGUAAUGUCGUCUGGGGCUACCACCUGUAUGGGCUUUAAGUCUCAUCCCAUGCAGAAAUACUACAUAACAGAAGUAACAAUGUCCAAUGUUCCUACAAUAAGGCUAUACAUUCAGUUCAUUGAUAGACCCCUGUGCGUUGUGCUGAUUGUAGAAGAUUCUGAUCAGUUAAGUGUGGAAAUGUUCUUAUUUCCAGUUGUUUGGAGACGUACUGAGGGCAAAUGGGUUUCACAUCCAGAUGAAGUCUGAGCUUCUGUGGUGCUGUCUAACAUGUUUGUGUUGUUGUUGCUGCAGCCAGCUGGGUGAAUGGUGUGGUAAGAUGCUGCUGCCAUUUGGGUGCUGGUGUGGUAGGCUGCUGCGUGCAGUCCAAGGUGUGGUCACUGUGAUUAUCUUCGAGUUGCAGUUUGCAUCGUUUUCAACCGCCCAGGCGAAUGUAUAGUAGCCUAAACAUUGGAAUUCAGCCACGUUAUUGCCGCAUUUCGCCUUGUAGAAGAUGAAGACAGUUCCGAUACAGACACUGAUGUGACGGCCGAGUCCGCCGCAACGGCAGUGAUUCGUUGCGACAGUUUAUUCCCAUUUACCCCGGUAUCUAGAGCAGCGAAUGAGGUGAACGAACGAAAAUUAAUCAUUUCAUGGGAACAGGAGUUUUUGACCUGUCAAUUAAUUAUAUAUAAGACAGGCUUAUUUAAAGAGAGUAUUUGUUUCAUAUUGGGAUUUCUUUAAUUUCUGGAAGGAAUUUGUGGACGUGUCCAUGUAAAGAUCUUUUUAUAUACCUU